rnacentral:lncRNA from 1 species
CUCCUAGGGGGUUAAGGAGAGAGGAUAAGGAGAGAAACUCUUAAAGAAGACUGCAACAGAGGAAGCAGAAGGGAAAAAACUUCUGAAAAUAUAACCAAUACACUCAUCGUUGGUGAGACUCAGAGGCGAGGCCCUAUACACAGAUUAUCAAUACAUGUAUAAAGUUGAGCCCCUACCGAAUGCUUUCACACCAAGACUGUUAGCCCAAUGGAAGUUGGCUGUGUGGAUACUCUUGAGGACCACAAGAGGUCUUGUUUCUUUAAAAAACAAAACCAAACAAAACAAACCAUUAAGGGCCCAUGUGAAUUGGGGAAUAUGAAGAUACCAAAAAAAACAGAAAUAGAGGGAGUUGUCCUGGACAGACCCCAAACUGAGAAGAGUGAAAUAAUGGAUUUUUCCUUUCAGCACAUUGUCUCAUAUGAGAAGAAUGAAAGAUAACUGAUAAGCAACUUCCAGCAAGAAGACAUAUAACUUAUAUUCUGAUUGGUUACUAGUGAUUUGAAUCUAUGCAGAUGUAUCUAAUGCUAACAUAUGUAUGUAUGUAUAUGUAUUUAUAUGACUAGUCAUAGACUUGAAGCAUUUUUUUUCAUAUUACUAAAGACUUGGCACUAAGUGCCAGUUUGCAAAAAUAUUUUACUUCCUUUUCCAUUAAUUUUGAUUGGCCUGAAUGGAACUCAUUUCAAGUUCCUCUAUUCUUGUUUUUGUGAGAGGCAUUACUUUUUUCUCUCUGUGAGUGUAUCUUUAUUACCUAUAUUGUUUGGUGCUCUUGAAUAAAGGAGAUUUGACACAGUGUACAUUUGAAUUAAACAUUCAUUUCUUCAGCAAGGAUUUCUGUUCAAGACAUUGUGCUGUUAAGACAUAGGCAAGGGUGAGAAGAGGUGGAGGGGUGACAAAGCAAGAUGGGCCAGAUGAUUUAA